CCUAUCAGAAGUUUGCCUGUGAGGGCGUCACCUCCCUCGACUCUCACUCUGCGUUCCUUGACGUUUUUUCGUCUGGCUCGGUUUUUGUUUCGAGCCAGGUGCACAACAGAUAAUACAAAACCUUGUAAGAGCCUGAAAAUUACAGAGUUGAUGACAGGGGAAACCACUUCUCUCUGAAGAUGAAAUCUCUGGAAUGUGACCUUAUGGUUGAAACUGUAGCAGCCAACCUGUGUCCAUGAGGGAAAUAUCAAGGGAAUUCAAAGGCUCUGGAGUUAACUAAACCAGAAACAACAACUGCAUGCAUCUGGACUUCCCAUUAUGUGGGGAAAAGGGGAAGUCAGCUGCCAUGUUGAGAGGAUACUCAGGCAACCUGUGGAGAAGUGAGACUGAGGUCUCCUGCCGACAUCCAUGCAUGUGAGCUGUCUUAGAAAUGGAUCCUCCAGCCCCAGUCAAGGCUUCGGAUGACUGCUGCUCCAGUCAACUAAGCUGCUUCUAAAUUUCUAAUUCACAGGAAUCAUGAGUAAGUGGGUUGAGAGGAGAGACAGUCACAGCUUCCUAGACCACCAUGAACCUCGGGCAGUCAUCUUAGCCCAUUCUCCCAUGUCAUGAAAACUAUACUUCGGACCAUUUUCAGAGAGACUUGGUGACAAUGGUGGAGUCGAAGGAGACUUCCAGUGGCUUCAGGGACAAUGAGAAACAGAGGCAUAGUAACCGCAAACUCUUCUGAGUUCUGUCUUUCUCACCGUUUCUGAGGGCUGUGGCCGUUAACCAUCUCUGUCUAGCCAUUGCCCAGAGUCUCCAUCACAAAAUCCCAGGAACCACGCUAUUAAAGACACAAUUCUCACCAGAUGACUACUGAGGAAGGAGGUUAAUGGAUGCCUUGUAGGCCAGUUGUGGACCUGCCUUAGAGAAUUUGGCCUCUUAGUACAAGCUUGACAAGGCAGAGCGGACAGCUAAGAGAUCGUGGGCAGGGAUCUUGCACUCAUAUCUACCACUGUAUGCCUAAUGCACAGCACUUUGGAAGGCUUCUCAUGAAUCCACCUCCCAGAGGCACUGUAUCCUUAUGAGGUACAGCUUCUCUCUACCCUUGAAAUGAUAAUUAUAAGAAAAGAAAGUGGCAGUCACUUAAAAC